GCCAAACUCCCAGACAGAUGGAGGUGCCACCCCACUGAGAUGCCUCAACCAGGCGACCUCUGAGCCUAAGCUAAGCCAUCAUAUCCCCAGUGACCUGCACUUAUACAUCCAGAUGGCCUGAAGCAACUGAAGACCCACAGAAGUGAAAAUAGCCUUAACUGAUGACAUUCCACCAUUAUGAUUUGUUUCUGCCCCACCCUAACUGAUCAAUGUACUUUGUAAUCUCCCCCACCCUUAAGAAGUUUCUUUGUAAUUCUCCCCACCCUUGAGAAUGUACUUUGUGAGAUCCACCCCCUACCCCCAAAACAUUGCUCUUAACUCCACCACCUAUCCCCAAACCUAUAAGAACUAAUAAUAAUCCACCACCCUUUGCUGACUCCUUUUUCGGACUCAGCCCACCUGCACCCAGGUGAA